rnacentral:rRNA from 1 species
CCAAUAGCGUAUAUUAAAGUUGUUGCAGUUAAAAAGCUCGUAGUUGAAUUUCGGGAUCAAUAUGUCGGUCGUGCCUUUGGUACGUACUGGUAUUAUUGGUUUCUCUCUUCUGAAGAACCUUGAUGUCAUUAAUUUGGUGUCUUGGGAAAUCAGGACUGUUACCUUGAAAAAAUUAGAGUGUUUAAAGCAGGCUCACGCUUGAAUACAUUAGCAUGGAAUAAUGAAAUAGGACGUUUGAUUCUAUUUUGUUGGUUUCUAGGAUCGACGUAAUGAUUAAUAGGGAUAGUUGGGGGCAUUAGUAUUCAAUUGUCAGAGGUGAAAUUCUUGGAUUUAUUGAAGACUAACUACUGCGAAAGCAUUUGCCAAAGAUGUUUUCAUUAAUCAAGAACGAAAGUUAGGGGAUCGAAGACGAUCAGAUACCGUCGUAGUCUUAACCAUAAACUAUGCCGACUAGGGAUCGGAUGAUGUUAAUUUUUUAAUGACUCAUUCGGCGCCUUACG